rnacentral:tRNA from 1 species
GUGGUCGUAGCUCAAUUGUAGAGCACAAGCCUGUGGAGCUUGAGGUUGCGGGUGCAAAUCCCGUCGACCACCCCA